GACGAACGCUGGCGGCAGGCUUAACACAUGCAAGUCGAGCGCCCUAGCAAUAGGGAGCGGCGCACGGGUGAGUAACGCGUGGGAACGUACCAUUUAGUGGGGGAUAACUUCGGGAAACUGAAGCUAAUACCGCAUACGCCCGAGAGGGGAAAGAUUUAUCGCUAAAUGAUCGGCCCGCGUGAGAUUUGGUAGUUGGUGGGGUAAUGGCCUACCAAGCCUACGAUCUCUAGCUGGUCUGAGAGGAUGAUCAGCCACACUGGAACUGAGACACGGUCCAGACUCCUACGGGAGGCAGCAGUGGGGAAUAUUGGACAAUGGGGGAAACCCUGAUCCAGCCAUGCCGCGUGAAUGAUGAAGGCUUUAGGGUUGUAAAGUUCUUUUGUUGGGGACAAAUAAAUUGAUGGUACCCAAAGAAAAAGCACCGGCUAACUCCGUGCCAGCCGCCGCAGUAA
rnacentral:rRNA from 1 species